rnacentral:rRNA from 1 species
GAUGAACGCUAGCGGCAGGCUUAAUACAUGCAAGUCGAGGGGCAGCGCAGUGUAGCAAUACAUGGGCGGCGACCGGCAAACGGGUGCGGAACACGUACAGAACCUUCCUUCGAGCGGGGGAUAGCCCAGAGAAAUUUGGAUUAAUACCCCAUAGUAUAGCGGAGUGGCAUCACUUUGUUAUUAAAGAUUUAUCACUUGAAGAUGGCUGUGCGUCUGAUUAGGUAGUUGGCGGGGUAACGGCCCACGAAGCCUGCGAUCAGUAACUGGUGUGAAAGCACGACAAGUCACACGGGCACUGCGACACGGGCCCGACUCCGACGGGAGGCAGCAGUAAGGAAUAUUGGUCAAUGGACGCAAGUCUGAACCAGCCAUGCCGCGUGAAGGAUGAAGGUCCUCUGAAUUGUAAACUUCUUUUAUCUGGGGCGAAAAAGGGCCUUUUGAGGUCAACUGACGGUACCCUAUGAAUAAGCACCGGCUAACUCCGUGCCAGCAGCCGCGGUAAUAC